UCGACCAGGUAUAAAGGUGCAACUAGAGAGCCAAAGGGAGAGGCUGAUCCUCAAAGCUGGAGAUGCCAAUGUUCUCUCAGUAUCUGAUGGAACAAGUUGUCAAGCCAGGAAGGCACGCAAUCUAACAAGACAACAUGAGUCAACUUCUGCUGGAUAUGCACGUGGCUUAAUGUGAGAGCAUCUGCCCAGCGUGUGCAAGGCCCAGGUGUAUUUUCAUUGCUUGAACAAAUUAACACAGCCACUGGUACUAAGACUGAACGGGUAGAUGGUGUCUUGUCAUCCAGCCCUGCAAAGAAGGACCGUCGGAAGCACUUUCCUCGACGCCAGUUGUGACCUAUCACCAAAGGAAGUCAAAGCAGGAACCUGGAGCAGAAACUGAAGAGACCACGAAGGAGUGCAGCUUACUGGAUUGCUCAUCUACCUUUCUUAUACAGUCCAAUCCCACCUGCCGAGGGAUGGCAUUACCCACAGAGGGCUGGGCCCUUCUAUAUGGAUUAGUGACCAAGAAAAUUCUCCCCACAGGAUUGGCCACAGGCCAGUAUGAUGGCUAUAAUUUUUAAAUGAGGUUGCCUCGUCCCAGGUAUGUCAAGUUGGCAAGCAAGAUUAGCUACCACAGUUGCUGAGUGGGCAUAUCCUUACAGCAUUGAUCUUGAAAGGCACUUGAUGGUUCACCCCUCUAUGGACCUAAACUCAUACUUCCUUUCAAGCAGAAAAAAAAAAACACCGAGAGGUUUGCUUUCAUGGUGUGACUGUCUUGGAAGGAACAUGAAUGGGAAGAUGGCACCGAGAGAGUUGAGGAUGAGAGAGCUGGAUGGUCUUCCUCUGAAUGGACAGAGGAAGUCAAAUCUCUUCUUGUGAAUGCUCAUGAGAGGGUGUUUUAAUAGUGGCUACAGUAACACUUCUCUUGUGGCACAAAUUUGUCUUUUCCCCCAAAGAGCUCUUGGAUCGAGUGACCAUGAUAGAGGGACUGUAAUGGAUCAUCCCCAUGGACUUCUACUCUCCAAGGGUAAUCUGGACGUAGCUAAUGUUGAGCAUCUGACUGGCCACAGCAGAGACUGAAACUGAGUCCUUAAUAUGCACUGUUCCCGUGGGAAGGUCAAUGCUUCUUAUUGGAAUCAAUAUUUACUGUGGUUAUGGAUAUGGGGACUAAACACAACGUCUCAGAAAACUAUCAUCCAUAAGCUUAUGAAGGGCUUCAGUCACCACUGUGGCAUUCCACACAGUAUUGCUUCUGAUCAAGGAACUUCAUAGCAACUGAUCUAUGGCCAGAGUAUCAUGGUCAUGUAACACCCUAUAACUCCAGAGUAACAGAAGAGUAAAAUGGCCUUCGGGAAUUCUUCCACAGCAUAAGCUAGCCAUACCUCAAAGGACUGUAGCAAUGUCCUUCAAAGGGCUACUCAAUGCAAUGAGUUGGCAACGAAUAUAUAAUGUUCCUCUGAACACAGUUAGCACUCAUAUACCUAGGAUAACAUCGCUCAACUUUGCCUCUUGAAAGUCACUAGGAACCAUCCUUAUGACUGUAGGUUCUGCUGGUCUAGAGCUUUUGGGUUUUACUGAGACUAAGCCUACCAACAGACACGUGAUUCCAGUGGAAUAAAAAUUAUGACUACCAUCUGAACAGUUUGGAGUCUUCCUUCCUUUUAGUAAACAGGCAAAGAAGAAAGAUUACUGCACUGGCUGAGGGUGUUGGUCCUAAUUUUCAAGCAGAAAUUGGGUCAGUACUGUACAAAGGUGUUUAGGAACAGUAUGUAAGGAAGUCAUUUAGAGUGUUUCUUAGUAAUACUGCUAUAAAAAUAAAUGUUUGUGUCCUCCUAGAUUUGUAUGUUCUGAGCUGUAUUUCCUAAUAUGGAAGCAUUUUGAAGUGGUGUUUUGGAAAGAAAAUGAAUUUGUUAGGGUUGAAUUCAUUUGGAAUCAGUAACCUCACAUGGGAGAUGACCUCACUUUCUGCUUUGUGAGCCUACAAGAGGAAGGUGCUGAUGCUUACAAAUCAGGAAGAAGACCCCACUUGAAACCAAACUAGCCAGCCUCUACAACUGCGACACAUCUUCUGUUGUCUAAGCCACCUGACUUAUGAUACUUUGUUUAGGAGCUUGAGCGAAUAACAACUACCAUUCUCUUGACAUCGGUCAGUGGACGGAAAACUACAGCAGCCCAGUUCAAACAGCUCUGCCGAGUAGGGGAAUAACAGCUCCUUCCCUUCAGGUAUGAAGGAAUGGGUCACCUCACUGGGCAAGUCCCACAUUCAGCUAACAUGCUGGCUACAGGCAGAAAAAAAAGACCAUGGAAAAGCUGGAAGAAAGCGGCUAUAAAUCCCACCCAUGGUUAUGUGACGAUUUGUAGAAAUAAGAACUGUAAGUACCAUGAAUAGUUCUUUUGUAUUUUAUUUUAGACCUUUUAUACAAAAUCUUUUGGUGUCUCCCUUUCCUAUCCUCAUAUUACCCAACAGAAUUUUAGGAAUCACAGUUAACUUUAUGUCAUGGUAUUUAUGUAAGUUAUCAAAGAGAACAGUUGAAGAUCACCAAUAACCUUUGUCACCCUCUUCAAGAUGGAAGCUUGCACUUUGGAUAUACACAGAAUCAUUGUACCAUGUCACUCAGUGUAUAGCUUUGUCCUUUUCUGUGAGUGUUUAAGUGUGACUUAAGGAAUGGAUGUGGGUGGAUGUAACAAGGGUGGCCUGAGCUGGCUAGUUUUAUGCAUCAGCUCCACCCACUCAGCUAGGUGUUUCCUCAUAGGUGUUUUGUAGCUAUUAGUCACUGCUACAGUGGGUUGGUUUUAAGCAAAGAAGAUUAUCCUCAAUAAUCUGAGUGGGUCUGACUACGGUCUCUCAGUUUCUCUGAGUCAGAGAAAGUCUGAGUGGCCUCCAGAGUCCAGGGUUUAUAGCUUGUCUUUCCUGGUCACACACACACACACACACACACACACACACACACACACACCCCUCUUUUUGCCUUUGAGACUUCACCUGAUACAGUCCCAGCUUCCUUCAAAAAAGCAAAGGACAUCAAAAUACAAUAUUUCCCAUAAACAUAAAAAUUCAUACCAAAAAUUUAAGAACAAUACAUUCAUGAACUUGAAAAAAAGCUAGUGAAGGACCUGAAAGUCAAUCAUUGAAAUUCAUUACUUUAGCACAAUAAAAGAGAAAAGCCGUACCAUUGCCUUGAUAGAACAGCAUCAACAAAUUCUAUAUUUGCGUGCACUAAAAAUUGUCAGUAAAUGAAAGCCAGAGUGAACUCCCCUGAGUACAUUAAAGAAUAUCUGUGAAAACUACAAUAAGCAUUGCACUUAGCACCAAAAUACUGGCUGCUCCCCGGCUGGGGACGAGAGUUAGGCAGGGGUGUUUAUCUUAUUGUUUCCAGUUGUCACUGAACAUCAAGGCCACAACCAGGGCAAUAAAGCAAGAAAAGAAAUAAGUAUCAUGAAUAUAAUUGUAUAAAAGAUAAAGCUGUUUUUACAUAUAGCAUGCUUGCUGUAUAUGCUUAGU